GAUGAACGCUGGCGGCGUGCCUAAUACAUGCAAGUCGAGCGAACAGACGAGGAGCUUGCUCCUCUGACGUUAGCGGCGGACGGGUGAGUAACACGUGGAUAACCUACCUAUAAGACUGGGAUAACUUCGGGAAACCGGAGCUAAUACCGGAUAAUAUAUUGAACCGCAUGGUUCAAUAGUGAAAGACGGUUUUGCUGUCACUUAUAGAUGGAUCCGCGCCGCAUUAGCUAGUUGGUAAGGUAACGGCUUACCAAGGCAACGAUGCGUAGCCGACCUGAGAGGGUGAUCGGCCGCACUGGAACUGAGACACGGUCCAGACUCCUACGGGAGGCAGCAGUAGGGAAUCUUCCGCAAUGGGCGAAAGCCUGACGGAGCAACGCCGCGUGAGUGGUGAAGGUCUUCGGAUCGUAAAACUCUGUUAUUAGGGAAGAACAAAUGUGUAAGUAACUAUGCACGUCUUGACGGUACCUAAUCAGAAAGCCACGGCUAACUACGUG
rnacentral:rRNA from 1 species